CCCAGGGGGCUGGCAGGGAGGAGGGGAGAGCUGCCAUUUCCUAGUUCCUUGCUGGGGCGUCUCCCGUGUGCCGGAGCGAGGUGGCCAGCACCGGACACGAGGGG